rnacentral:rRNA from 1 species
CACGUAGUUAGCCGGUGCUUCUUAUCUAGGUACCGUCACAAAAAGCUUCGUCCCUAGCGAAAGGAGUUUACAACCCGAAGGCCGUCAUCCCCCACCGCGGCGUCGCUGCAUCAGGCUUGCGCCCAUUGUGCAAUAUUCCCCACUGCUGCCUCCCGUAGGAGUCUGGGCCGUAUCUCAGUCCCAAUGUGGCCGUCCACCCUCUCAGGCCGGCUACCCGUCGCCGCCUUGGUAGGCCAUUACCCCACCAACAAGCUGAUAGGCCGCGAGCUCAUCCUACACCGAAAAAACUUUCCAACCAUCACACUAAAAAUGGCUCCUAUCCGGUAUUAGACCCAGUUUCCCAGGCUUAUCCCGAAGUGCAGGGCAGAUCACCCACGUGUUACUCACCCGUUCGCCACUCGAGUACCCUGCAAGCAGGGCCUUUCCGUUCGACUUGCAUGUGUUAAGCACGCCGCCAGCGUGUCCUGAGCCAGGAUCAAACUACU